UAGCUUGAAAUCUUUUCUACUUGUCCAUAGGCUAGGUACAGCAUGUGAAGUGGCAGUGCACGCUUCCUCAACAAGUGCUUUGCCAAUAUGCCUCAACCUCAUCUGAAAGGACCCACCUCUAGAGGUGAGGGAAUUGGGUCUCCAUGCUAAUCCAGUUCAUG
ensembl:misc_RNA